AUUGAACGCUGGCGGCAUGCCUUACACAUGCAAGUCGAACGGCAGCGCGGACUUCGGUCUGGCGGCGAGUGGCGAACGGGUGAGUAAUACAUCGGAACGUACCCUGUUGUGGGGGAUAACUAGUCGAAGGAUUAGCUAAUACCGCAUACGACCUGGGGGUGAAAGUGGGGGACCGCAAGGCCUCACGCACCAGGAGCGGCCGAUGUCUGAUUAGCUAGUUGGUGGGGUAAAGGCCCACCAAGGCGACGAUCAGUGGCUGGUCUGCGAGGACGAUCAGCCACACUGGGACUGCGCGACGGCCCAGGGUCCGACGGGAGGCAGCAGUGGGGAAUUUUGGACAAUGGGGGCAACCCUGAUCCAGCAAUGCCGCGUGUGUGAAGAAGGCCUUCGGGCUGUAAAGCACUUUUGUCCGGAAAGAAAUCGCGCUGGUUAAUACCUGGCGUGGAUGACGGUACCGGAAGAAUAAGCACCGGCUAACUACGUGCCAGCAGCCGCGGUAA
rnacentral:rRNA from 1 species